GCGGGCGUGGCGAAAUUGGCAGACGCGCCAGAUUUAGGUUCUGGUGGGGUAAUACCCGUGGAGGUUCGAGUCCUCUCGCCCGCA
rnacentral:tRNA from 1 species